CUGGUUCUGUCCAAUCAGAGGUCGUGUUGGUGAAGGGGUCACCUGUGCAGGGGGCGGAGUCAUGAAGGGGAGGUUAUAUAAGCUCAGAGUGUUUCCAGAUUCUCUGAAGGUGACACGAUGACGAGCAGCAGCUUCGUGCAGCAGGUCAAUCAACAGCAGAACAAACAUUCUGGCUCCUGCAGGAACGUGAGUCACUGCAAACUUUUUUAUUCUUUAUUCUCCUGAGGUCUCAUCAGUCUGUGAUACUAAUUCAGACACUGCCCCCUACUGGAGGAAUGACCAGAUUAUAGCAGGUGUAUGAGGAGAAUGACUGAAUGUAUAUAAAGAGUCUGAAGUCGUUUAUGAAAUACUUUUAUUUUGCAAAAACCAGGAGCAGUUUUCAAAUCCCCCCCUAUUCUUUCAAAGCAAACAUUGAAUUUGAUUCAACGAUAAAACCAAGAAAUGUCUCAGAUUCUCUGUUUAUGGAAAAAA